AUUGAACGCUGGCGGCAGGCCUAACACAUGCAAGUCGAACGAGUGGCGGACGGGUGAGUAAUGUCUGGGAAACUGCCUGAUGGAGGGGGAUAACUACUGGAAACGGUAGCUAAUACCGCAUACCAUCGGAUGUGCCCAGAUGGGAUUAGCUAGUAGGUGGGGUAAAGGCUCACCUAGGCGACGAUCCCUAGCUGGUCUGAGAGGAUGCCCAGCCACACUGGACAUGAGACACGGUCCAGGCUCCGACGGGAGGCAGCAGUGGGGAAUAUUAGACAAGGGGUGAAAGCCUGAUCCAGCCAGGCCGCGGGUGUGAAGAAGGUCUUCGGAUUGUAAAGCACUUUAAGUUGGGAGGCGUUACCAACAGAAGAAGCACCGGCUAAGUUCGUGCCAGCCGCCGCGGUAAUUC
rnacentral:rRNA from 1 species